CUCAGUAACGGCGAGUGAAGCGGCAACAGCUCAAAUUUGAAAUCUGGCUCUCUUUGGGGGUCCGAGUUGUAAUUUGAAGAGGGUGCUUUGGCGUCGACGGCGGUCUAAGUCCCUUGGAACAGGGCAUCGCAGAGGGUGAGAAUCCCGUAUGUGGCCGCAAGCCUUCGCCGUGUAAAGCCCCUUCGACGAGUCGAGUUGUUUGGGAAUGCAGCUCUAAAUGGGAGGUAAAUAUCUUCUAAAGCUAAAUACCGGCCAGAGACCGAUAGCGCACAAGUAGAGUGAUCGAAAGAUGAAAAGCACUUUGGAAAGAGAGUCAAACAGCACGUGAAAUUGUUGAAAGGGAAGCGCUUGCAGCCAGACUUGCUCGCAGUUGCUCAUCCGGGCUCUCGCCCGGUGCACUCUUCUGCGGGCAGGCCAGCAUCAGUUUGGGCAGCCGGAUAAAGACCUCUGUCACGUAUCUUCCUUCGGGAUGACCUUAUAGGGGAGGUGCAAUGCGGUUAGCCCGGACUGAGGUCCGCGCAUCUGCUAGGAUGCUGGCGUAAUGGCUGUAAGCGGCCCGUCUUGAAACACGGACCAAGGAGUCUAACAUCUAUGCGAGUGUUUGGGUGUCAAGCCCGGGCGCGCAAUGAAAGUGAACGGAGGUGGGAGCCCUCUCGGGGGUGCACCAUCGACCGAUCCUGAUGUCUUCGGAUGGAUUUGAGUAAGAGCAUAGCUGUUGGGACCCGAAAGAUGGUGAACUAUGCUUGAAUA
rnacentral:rRNA from 1 species